UACGUAGGGGGCAAGCGUUGUCCGGAAUCAUUGGGCGUAAAGCGCGUGUAGGCGGUUCGGUAAGUCCGCUGUGAAAGUCCAGGGCUCAACCCUGGGAUGCCGGUGGAUACUGUCGGACUAGAGUACGGAAGAGGCGAGUGGAAUUCCCGGUGUAGUGGUGGAAUGCGUAGAGAUUGGGAGGAACACCGGUGGCGAGGGCGGCUCACUGGGCCGGUCCUGGACGCUCAGGCGCGAAAGCGUGGGGAGCGAUCCGG
rnacentral:rRNA from 1 species